GUGGUGGAUGCCUUGGCAAUUACAGGCGACGAAGGACGUGAUAGCCUGCGAUAAGCUUCGGGGAGCUGGCAAAUUAGCUUUGAUCCGGAGAUUUCCGAAUGGGGAAACCCACCUCGCAAGAGGUAUUGCAUGCUGAAUACAUAGGCAUGCAAGGCGAACCGGGUGAACUGAAACAUCUCAGUAGCUCGAGGAACAGACAUCAACCGAGAUUCCGAAAGUAGUGGCGAGCGAAAAUCGGAGGAGCCUGUACGAUUUAGCAGUCUGCAUAUCAAAACGGGAUGGAAAGCCCGGCAUAGUAGGUGAUAGCCCUGUAUGAGAAAUGCAAUCUGUGGAACUGAGCGUACGACAAGUAGGGCGGGACACGUGUAAUCCUGUCUGAAUAUGGGGGACCGAUCCUCCAAGGCUAAAUACUCGUAAUUGACCG
rnacentral:rRNA from 1 species